rnacentral:lncRNA from 1 species
AAAGGUCAAACUUCAAAUUCACUUCAAAUCAACUUUGAAAAGUCCAAGUGAAUUAUCCCAAGUUCAACAAGGUCAAACAAAGUUUGGCACAAAAUUUCAGCAUUUUUAAAGGUCUGAAACUAUUUUUAGUCAAUUAAAAAUGAAGAAAAAUAACCUAAUUGAACUAAAAUCUCAAAUAAAUCUCAAAUCAACUAAUAAAUUUAUGAGAAUAUUUUUCAUAGAUCCAUCAUCAUUCAAAGAGGU